rnacentral:rRNA from 1 species
AGCCUUAAGAAUUUAUUUUAGGUGAGACCUGCCCACUGCUCUAGGUAAAUGGCCGCAGUACUCUGACUGUGCUAAGGUAGCAUAAUCAGUUGGCUUUUAAAUGGAGUCGGGAAUGAAUGGAUUAAUGGGGGGAAGCUGUCUCUAUUGUAUUUUAUUGAAUUUGAUUUAGUGGGUGAAAAUACCCACCUAUAGAAAAAAGACGAGAAGACCCUAGGAGUUUUUACUAGACUUUAAAUUUUUAAUCACCGUUUUUGUUGGGGCAACAUAGGAACAAGUGAAAUUUCCUUUACUAAUCUGCCGACUAUGUAUGAGAGAUAAAACUACCCUAGGGAUAACAGCGUAAUUUUUUAAAAAGUUUGCGACCUCGAUGUUGGACUAGGAAUUUAUUUGGUUAGCCGCCAAAUAAAGAUGUUCU